AAGUCGUAACAAGGUUUCCGUAGGUGAACCUGCGGAAGGAUCAUUAAUGCUACUUUCCACUUGAGGGAAUUGCGCCCUGUUGCGAAUAAACAAGGUGUGGUUACGCUUCUAUCAGGUUAUGCUGCAGGGCGUAGUCAUUAUCGUUUUAUUUGCCUGUGCAAAGAUUCCCACAAGCGUGAACGUGUAUCUCUUAUCUUAAACGCUUAAGGAACUUUUUUUAAAGUUCCCUAACGUACCAAGUAACUUGAGAAGCCUUUGCUGUUUUUUCGGAGAUAGCAAAGUGUUUUUCUCACUUUUUUUUACUACCAUAAUUACCCUAUUAACUUAUAAACUAUUAGACUGAUAUAAAAUAACAUUUAUUUUAUAAAUGUAUGAUACAACUCUUAGCAAUGGAUAUCUAGGCUCUU
rnacentral:misc_RNA from 1 species